GCACCGGGCCAAUCAGGAGGGCGCGUGGCGGCGCGGGGGAGGCGGCGCCCUCACUCCUCCCUCCGCUCCCUCCCGGCCCCGCGCUGACAGGGGGGCCUGGCCGCGCCGCCGAACUUGAAUUUAAAUGUGGCUUUUUGCUAAUAGCAAUCAGGAAGAGCCUUCCGUAUGAUGGAUCAUUGAUAAAUAUUUGUUGAAUGAGAAAUAUCUAUUGCUCCAAGCAAGUUAAGCCUGUGUUUCUCUCUUCCAAGACUUUUUUGUUUCUGCUCCUAUGGCUUUGACACUUCGCAUUAAAUUGCUCUAGUGGACUACAAAAUAUUGUGUCCAUAAAUCUCUUCGGAUUCCAAUCUUUGGCUUUUAAAGUUUGCGCUCCCUUAAAAAGCUGAUCAAGUGACAAA